rnacentral:rRNA from 1 species
GACGAACGCUGGCGGCGUGCUUAACACAUGCAAGUCGAACGGUGAAGCGCCUUCCUUUUUGGUGGGUGUGGAUGAGCGGCGAACGGGUGAGUAACACGUGAGUAACCUGCUCCCUCCUUCUGGAUAACCGCAUGAAAGUGUGGCUAAUACGGGAUAUUCCGGGCCUGUCGCAUGAUUGGUCUGGGAAAGAUUUUGUUUCGGUGGUGGAUGGGCUCGCGGCCUAUCAGCUUGUUGGUGGGGUGAUGGCCUACCAAGGCGGUUACGAGUAGCCGGCCUGAGAGGGUGGACGGUCACACUGGGACUGAGACACGGCGCAGACUCCGACGGGAGGCAGCAGUGGGGAAUAGUGCACAGUGGGCGGAAGCCUGAUGCAGCGACGCCGCGUGAGGGAUGGAGGCCUGCGGGUUGUGAACCUCUUUCGGCAGUGAAGCAGGCCUGCCUCGUUUGUGGGUGGGUUGACGGUAGCUGGAUAAGAAGCGCCGGCUAACUACGUG